rnacentral:rRNA from 1 species
GACUACAGGGGUAUCUAAUCCUGUUUGCUCCCCACGCUUUCGUGCCUCAGCGUCAAUUCUGGUCCAGUGAGCCGCCUUCGCCACUGGUGUUCUUCCGAAUAUCUACGAAUUUCACCUCUACACUCGGAAUUCCACUCACCUCUCCCAGAUUCUAGCGACCUAGUUUCAAAGGCAGUUCUGGAGUUGAGCUCCAGGCUUUCACCUCUGACUUGAGUCACCGCCUACGCACGCUUUACGCCCAGUAAUUCCGAACAACGCUAGCUCCCUCCGUAUUACCGCGGCUGCUGGCACGGAGUUAGCCGGAGCUUAUUCUCCAGGUACUGUCAUUAUCAUCCCUGGUAAAAGAGCUUUACAACCCUAAGGCCUUCAUCACUCACGCGGCAUUGCUGGAUCAGGCUUUCGCCCAUUGUCCAAUAUUCCCCACUGCAGCCCCCCGUAGG